rnacentral:rRNA from 1 species
CGGAGGGUGCGAGCGUUGUUCGGAAUCACUGGGCGUAAAGCGCGUGUAGGCGGCCCACUAAGUCUGAUGUGAAAGCCCGGGGCUCACCCCCUGAAGUGCAUUGGAAACUGGUGGACUCGAGUCCCGGAGAGGAGAGUGGAAUUCCUGGUGUAGCGGUGAAAUGCGUAGAUAUCAGGAGGAACACCGGUGGCGAAGGCGGCUCUCUGGACGGUGACUGACGCUGAGACGCGAAAGCGUGGGGAGCAAACAGGAUUAGAUACCCUGGUAGUCCACGCCGUAAACGAUGAGCACUAGGUGUCGCGGGUAUUGACCCCUGCGGUGCCGACGCUAACGCAUUAAGUGCUCCGCCUGGGGAAUACGGCCGCAAGGUUA